GAACUACUCAGUGGUGGUGACGCUGCUGCUGCUGCUGCUGCUGCCUGGGGGUGACGUGGCCUGGGUGACUGGCUACCUGGUGGAGGAGAAGCUGCUGUGGCCACUCUGAGAGCCGUCCAGGGUCAACGUGCUGGCCAAGUCCUACCAGCUCAGACACCGCCUGCUGCAGAGUCCCUGGGAGUGCAUGUCCGCUGGCCUUCUGGGCACCAACAACAAUAAAGCAGGCAAUGAUCUGAUGCUGCUGGAUGGCUCUGUGGCCCAGAGCCUGGAGGAGCUCAGCCUGGCCUGGCAGGUGGAUGGUGACAGUAGGGCCACCAAGAAGACUCAGUCGACCUGCCCAGGACAGAGCCCCACCUGCUGGGCCUUCUUCCAGGACCCCCGUUCCAGCUUGGGGAACUGCUUCCGGGUGGUGAGUGUGAGCCUGGCCCCUGGGGCACAGAAAGCCCUUUCCCCAGUCUCUGAGUCAGGGAGCCAGGUGAUCAGGCCCGGCUGGUCCCACCCCCACAAAAAAACAAACAAACAAAAAAAACAGCAAUUGGAAACACUCUGGGUUGAGAGUUUCACAGCAAGCACAGCUGAACCUGGGAUGGUCCAGCUCUGUGGGGGAGGGGUGUCCACCAUUACCGCUAUUACUGAGGCACUCCACCACUACAGAGGCAGCCUGCCAUUGCCGAGGCAACCCGUCAUUACAGAGAGAAUCCGUCAUUACAGAGGCAGGUUGCCAUUACUGAGGCAGUUCUAACUACACCCAUAUAAACAGGACUGCAGGGAAGUUCACAUGGCAGCCGGGCAGAGCCCACAGCAGCUGAGCGAAGCCUCUGCAGGCAGUGACUAGGCUGCCUCCUUGCUGGGCAGGGCAGCCCUGAAAAAAAAAGGCAGCAGCACAGUAGAAACUCACUCAUAAAUAAAGCCCUAACUAACUCCCUGGGACAGAACACCAGGGAAAAAAAAGAGGUUUAUGAGUUCUGCUGCAGCAGACUUAAACGUACCUGCCCAGCAGCUCCGAAUGAACAACAGAGCUCACAGCUCAGCACUUGAGCUCCUAUAAAGGACAGACUGUCUCCUCAAGCAGCUCCCUGACCCCC
rnacentral:lncRNA from 1 species